GGGCGGGGCGGCCCUGAGCUCACGGGCGUCUCGUGUAUUUCUGGGGCGUCAGCCAGCCAGGCACCGCCAGCCCCGUGUUAAGGUCUGAGCCCCUCCGGCUGUCUCGGGUUUAUGGAGUCUACGCUGUGUGCCGUGCCUCCUGCCAGGAGCUGUCGCGCAUUUUGCCGCGUUUGCUCUUCGGCAGCCUGCUGAGUCAGGUGCCGUCGCCCUGAGAGCCCUCGUGUGUCUUGGGCAGGUCUGUGCAGAGGACGCCGUCUCCGACCACGGCUUCGAGUUGGGCUGCCGUUACCUCGCUAAGUGACCUCCAGAAGGCAAGCAGAGUUCCUGGGUCUGGGUGUCCCUGUGCGGGAUUGGACCCCGGGACUUUAUUGGGGCCGCAUCCAGACCCCUUUACUGCCUGGUGCCUCCAUCUCCGGCUUCUGGGUGUGCUGGGGGCCAACAGCUCACAGCCGCCCCCUUCUCUGAAUAGUUAAUUGUCCUUGGGGAACUGCUGCGCCCUGGAAGUUACCACUCCCCAAACGCCUGGAGCUCAUGGCUGACUGGGGUUGCAGUAUAAAGGCCCAGCUCCUUUGCCUCCAAGAGAGUUGACUCGUGCUAUUCGUGCUCCGAGCUCCUCUGGAAUGAAGUUGAAGGAGUGAGAAUCCAGAAUAAUGAGAGGACAGCCAGCAGGGGAAGGAAGUCCCCGGGAGGCGAGUUGGUCUGUUUGUAUUUUCCUUAUUUUAACAUGCAUUUUGUUAUUGUGUGCUUUUGCUAGGAAAUCACCAAUUUCCUGUGGAUUUCCAGUUUGAUGCAAUAGGUUUCUCUUAUUUGAGUUUUAAUUUUUCCUCUUUCUCUAGUUUUCAACAGAAUUGUCACAAUUACGAACAAAUGUGGGUACCUUAUUGUUAACUAAAAUCCAUAUUUUAUUUGGAUUCCCUUCGUUCUUCCAUUUUGUGUCCUAGGAUCCCAUCCAGGGUAUCCCAUGGCAUUGAGUCAUAAUGUCACUUUAGUAUGUUUUCGGCUUUGACAUUUUCUCACACUGUCCUUCACUCUAUGACCUCAGCAGUGUUGAGGUGGACUAGUCAGGUAUUUCGUAGAUUGUCCCGCAUUGGGAUUUACUUGGUGUUUUUCUUGUGAUUAAAAUGGGGUCACGGGUUUUGAGGAAGCAGAUCACAGGGGUAAAGUGCUUUCUUGUGACUUUAUAUCGUGGGAACAUACAUCAGGGCAACUUAUCACUGUUCAUGUUAGCUUUAUCUUCUGGCUCAGGUAGUGUUUGUCAGAUUUUCCCCACUGUGAAGUUACUUUUUCCCUAAGUCUGUACUGUGUGUCUUCUUUAGGGUGAAGCCACUGUGUGGCACCCACACUUCAGGAGAGGGGAGUAUUUUAUUUACCGCUGCUGUGUACUAACAUUUGAAAUUGGGCAGUGUGACCCUCCAACUUUGAAUUUCUUUUGAAAAAUUGUUUUAGCUCUUUGGGGUCUCUAGAAAUUCCGUAUUUUGGCGUUUCACAUUUUGCUCCCUUUCACAUGGAUGUACCCCAGUUUGCUUAUGCAUUCAUCUACUGAAGACAUCCUGAUUCCAUUUAGGUUUAGACAUUAUGAGUAGAGCUUCCGUGCACAAUAGCAUCCUUGUUUUUGUUUGGAUAGAGUUUUACAAAGCAGUUGUGUAAUUAUUGAAGGUGUGAGAAGUUGUGUAAUUAUCUCAAGGUGUGAGACUUGUUUGGCUCUGGAAAAUCCUGCCAAACUGUAUCUCAAGGCCGUCUACGCGUUCCAUCGGCGAUGAAGGAGAGCUGUUGUUCCCCACCCUCCAGUGAUCAGGGUCGUCCUUGUGGGAGGAGCAGAUGUGGCCUCUCCCGUUGCGGAGCAACAGGCUUCGGACGCGCAGGCUCAGCGGCCAUGGCUCACGGGCACAGCCGCUCCGCGGCAUGUGGGAUCUUCGCAGACCGGGGCACGAACCCGCGUCCCCUGCAUCGGCAGGCGGACUCUCAACCACUGCGCCACCAGGGAAGCCCUAACACAACAUUGUAAAUCAACUAUACUUCAAUAAAAAAAAUUAAUUUACAAAGAACAUGUUACUUUUUUCCUUUUGUGCAUUGGCUUUUUGUGUUGUGUGUUAAAAGUCAGACCUCAUGAUCUAUGUGCCCAAACCCAUGGUCAUGUAGAUUUUCUUCUAUGUUUUCUUUUAUAGUUUUUAUAGUUUUAUAUUUUAAAUUUGUCUGUGGACACUUUGGAAUGACUUUUGGUGUAAGUUGCAAAGUCUGUGUCUACAUUCAUUUCAUUGCAUAUGGUUUCUGAUUGUUCUAUACCUAUUUUUCAAGAAGUCAUGGCAUAUUUGCUGCCAUAUGUUUGAAUUUCCAAACAUUAGUGGAUUCAGCAGGACGGCCAGCAGGGAACUCGGUCUCCUCUGAACUGGGAGUGGGUGCAGCCUGCAUUACCCACUUUGCCAGCACAGGGCUGGUCCUGUGCACAGCUGACAGGAGCCUGGCCUCCUCAGGAACCUCCAAGGAUUUGGCUUCGGGACAGUGCAGGGCUGCAUCCACGUUGAGACGAGCUCGGUUUCCUCAGGACUGGCUGGGAGGUGCCUCCCUGGGAGAAAAGGGUGAGGAAAAAGUGGGGAGAAGCUUGCUGUGCUGACUGCCUGGCUGACUGCCUGGGGUGGGUGUCUGUUUCCAGAGGACCCAGCAGAGGAGGGGCUUGAUGUGGAAAACUGUGGGUUUUAGUGAGUUUUGUGUGUGCUGCAGUGUCCCGUGUCCUCCUUUGGCUUGUGAUGUUCCAUUUUCCAGGCAGUUUAUUGAGGGGACUGUCCUUUCCCUGGGGUAUGUCCUUGGCAGCUUUGGCAUAAAUCAACUGACCACAUGUGUGUGGGCUUAUUCUUGGGCUCUCUAUUCUAUUCUUAUGGCCCCUUUGUCUCUUUCUGUGUCAUUUCUACACUGUUUGGUUACUGUAGCUUCGUAAUAUGGUUUGAAGUCAGGGAGUGAGUUUCCUCCAGCUGCUGCUCUCCUUUCUUAGGAUCCCCUUGGCUGUUCGGGGUCCUUUGUGUUUCCAUACAAAUGUCAGGACUGUUAGUUCAGUUUCUGUGAAAAAUGCCUUUGGCAUUUUUGUAGGAAUUGCAUUGAAUGUGUAUAUUUGGGUAGAAUGAACAUUUUAGCACUACUAAUUCUUUCUGUCCAUGAGCACAGGGUAUCUUUCCAUUUAUUUACGUCUUCAAUUUCUUCAUCAAUGUCAUAACAUUUUCAGUGUGCAGGUCUUUCACAUCUUUGGGUAAGUUUAAUCCUAGGUAUUUUGUUCUUCUGAUGUUACGGUAAAUGGGGUUGUUUUCUUAAUUUCUCUAAUAGAUUUUUGGUGGGUUGAUGUGGAAAACUGGAAUUAGAAAUCCCACUGUUUCUACCACAUCCAGGUCAUCCAGAACACCCAAGAUGGGACUUCCCUGGUGGUGCAGUGGUUAAGAGUCCACCUGCCAAUGCACGGGACGUGGGUUCGAUCCCUGCUCCAGGAAGAUCCCACAUGCCGCGGGGCAACUAAGCCCGUGAGCCACAACUACUGAGCCCGCGUGCGGCAACUACUGAAGCCCGUGCACCUAGAGCCCGUGCUCCUCAACAAGAGAAGCCACCGCAAUGAGAAGCCCGCGCACGGCAACGAAGAGUAGGCAACGAAGAGUAGCCCCCGCUUUCCGCAACUAGAGAAAGCCUGCGUGCAGCAACGAAGACCCAACGCAACCAUAAAUAAAUAAAUAAAUAAAUUAAUUUAAAAAAAUAACUAGACUGUCUUUUCUGAUCUGCAUGUGUUCAGUGUACAAUUCUUGUACACCUUUUCCCUCACCUCUAUUGGAGGCUGAUUCAGAACACAUACAACCUCCUGGAGAAACUUGCCCCGACCCUGCUAUGUACUGCCACCUAGCUGGCCUGGUACUGAGUCACCAAAAACUUUUGUUCUUUACUUGAUUCUUAAUUCCUUUAGAAUUCAUUACUUUACUGUUAUAAAUGUUUAUUGUGCUUGUAAUAAAUCUUUUAAUAAAUCAUUUUUAUUUUA